rnacentral:rRNA from 1 species
UACGGGGGGAGCAAGCGUUGUUCGGAUUUACUGGGCGUAAAGCGUGCGCAGGCGGUUUUGUAAGCCGGAUGUGAAAUCCCCGGGCUUAACCUGGGAAUGGCAUUCGGGACUGCAAGGCUGGAGUGCGGCAGAGGAGACUGGAAUUCCUGGUGUAGCAGUGAAAUGCGUAGAUAUCAGGAGGAACACCGAUGGCGAAGGCAGGUCUCUGGGCUGACACUGACGCUCAUGCACGAAAGCGUGGGGAGCAAACAGG